CAUGUGGUUUAAUUCGAAGCAACGCGAAGAACCUUACCUAGACUUGACAUCUCCUGAAUUACUCUUAAUCGAGGAAGUCCCUUCGGGGACAGGAAGACAGGUGGUGCAUGGUUGUCGUCAGCUCGUGUCGUGAGAUGUUGGGUUAAGUCCCGCAACGAGCGCAACCCUUAUUGUUAGUUGCUACUAUUAAGUUAAGCACUCUAACGAGACUGCCGCGGUUAACGUGGAGGAAGGUGGGGAUGACGUCAAAUCAUCAUGCCCCUUAUGUCUAGGGCUACACACGUGCUACAAUGGCUGGUACAACGAGCAGCAAACCCGCGAGGGGGAGCAAAACUUGAAAGCCAGUCCCAGUUCGGAUUGUAGGCUGAAACUCGCCUACAUGAAGUUGGAGUUGCUAGUAAUCGCGAAUCAGCAUGUCGCGGUGAAUACGUUCCCGGGUCUUGUACACACCGCCCGUCACACCAUGAGAGCCGGUAACACCCGAAGCCCGUGAGGUAACCGUAAGGAGCCAGCGGUCGAAGGUGGGAUUGGUGAUUGGGGUGAAGUCGUAACAAGGUAGCCGUAGGAGAACCUGCGUCUGGAUCACCUCCUUUCUA
rnacentral:rRNA from 1 species